UACGUAGGUGGCAAGCGUUGUCCGGAAUCACUGGGCGUAAAGGGCGCGUAGGCGGCUGUUCAAGUCGGGGGUGAAAGCCUGUGGCUCAACCACAGAAUUGCCUCGAUACUGGACGGCUCGAGACCGGAAGAGGUCAGUGGAACUGCGAGUGUAGAGGUGAAAUUCGUAGAUAUUCGCAAGAACACCAGUGGCGAAGGCGGCUGACUGGCCCGAUACUGACGCUGAUGCACGAAAGCGUGGGGAGCAAACAGG
rnacentral:rRNA from 1 species